rnacentral:lncRNA from 1 species
UGGACACAGAAUUUUAUUUAUACACAGGACACUCUGAUCCAAUGGUCAUGAACACAUCUCCCUCUGAGUAGGGGUACAUCCAUUUUAGGGCUUUUGGGGGUCCUUGGCAUGAAUAAGCCUCAUGGCUUUUUUCUCUUCUUAGUUCUGCUUUCAAGCAGUAAGAAAGAUGGAAGAACUUAGUUCCCUGUAGCCCACACAGUGGAAAAGAGGGAGGGAGCAGUGCCCAAGCAGGAACUGCAGGGCUGAGCAGCCACAUGACAGGCAGUCUGGCUUUCUGGCAAGAAAGCUCUGCCCUGGGAUGCAGAGGCGGCUUUAUGUGCAGAUCGGGGGCACCCAGAGGGCUCCUCAUGGGCAGCCCUGGGGCCUCAGAGGGCACUUGGGGGCUGCUAGAGAGGAAAUGUCAACAUUUGGGACCUGGAUGGUGUGUGUGUGUGAGAGAGCAAGAGGAAUACCCAUGAGAUCUCCAGGGGUUUGUGAAGGGGUUUUUCAGGGGCGAGUGAGGACUCUCCAGAGAAGCAUUUAUCCUCAGUGAGCCAAGCCCCGGAGGGGACAGGCUGGCGUGUUCCCUGGGACCCCCUUGCCCCCCAACCUGGCCUGCAGCCUCAGUCAAGCACAGCACCUGCCAAGAGCUUAGUCGCCUGUGACUGUCAGACCUGGGAGGUGGGGCUGACGUGGCUCCAGAGGAGGUUCAGGCAGCUGGCUGAAACCUGCUCCUGCAGCACUGCCCUUGCCCCUCCUCCCCUCACAGCCUCCCCUUCCCCACUGCAGUCUUCUAGCCCCCUCCCCCCCGCCCUCCCCCCCCCCCAACCUGGCCCAGACAGGGGUGAGGGGGUGGGCUGUCUGGGUAGUCACGUGAUGGGCAGAGGCCAACCGCUAGUGCCAGUGGAGGGGUGAGCCUUCCCCGCUAGCCUCCGGCUUUGGAGGAGGAGGGAUGAAGAAAGCUCGCCUCCCUCCCAGUCUUUCCUGUCCCCUCCUCCAAAUGGCCAGGAUUUCCCAUCCUGUCCCUCCAGUAUUGAUCUUCCCGUCUCCUGGGAGGGCUUGGUGCCGUCAGCUGCCCGUCAGCCUAUGGGCCUUUCUUGAGGCCCGAAGGGCCCUCCGCAGCAGGGCAUGGAGAAACAUGAGCAGCUUGGAGGUUCCCAAGUGGAGAAAGGACAGAUUGUUUCCAAGCAGCCAGCUGCCCUGCCUGUCCUGAUGACCUUUCUCCCGUGAGCACUUCCCAGCCUGAGCUACUCUGCCCGUCUCCUCCUGUUUACCAAGUCCAAGCUUGCUCUGCUGGCCACACAAUAGGUCAAUGAAUCUGAGACAGGUGUUGAGGCAAGGAAGAGACUUUAAACCGGGAGCCGGCAGACCAAAAAGAUGGCAGGCUAGUGCCUCAAAAUAACCAUCUUAUUGGGGUCUGGAUGCCAGGUUCUUUAAUAGACCAGAGAGAAAGAAGCAAUGAGGAACCAAAGUCAAAAGGCAGUGGGGAAGUAAAGUGAAAGGGUCUUCAGUCUUGCAAAGCAUCUCUAAGGGAAUGGCCUGCCUUUGGAAGGGGUGAGCUAAUCUCUUCUAUUCACAGGUGGGCAGGGACAAACCAUCUCUCCAUGAGCUGAACAAAGACACUUUAGUUUAUAGUCAAGCAGAGAGGCAGGGUCCUCCAGGCAAGCCAUGGAGUAUUAUAUAGUAAUAAAAACGAUGAAAAGCAAGUCA